GAUGAACGCUGGCGGCGUGCCUAAUACAUGCAAGUCGAGCGAACGGACGAGAAGCUUGCUUCUCUGAUGUUAGCGGCGGACGGGUGAGUAACACGUGGAUAACCUACCUAUAAGACUGGGAUAACUUCGGGAAACCGGAGCUAAUACCGGAUAAUAUAUUGAACCGCAUGGUUCAAUAGUGAAAGACGGUCUUGCUGUCACUUAUAGAUGGAUCCGCGCUGCAUUAGCUAGUUGGUAAGGUAACGGCUUACCAAGGCAACGAUGCAUAGCCGACCUGAGAGGGUGAUCGGCCACACUGGAACUGAGACACGGUCCAGACUCCUACGGGAGGCAGCAGUAGGGAAUCUUCCGCAAUGGGCGAAAGCCUGACGGAGCAACGCCGCGUGAGUGAUGAAGGUCUUCGGAUCGUAAAACUCUGUUAUUAGGGAAGAACAUAUGUGUAAGUAACUAUGCACGUCUUGACGGUACCUAAUCAGAAAGCCACGGCUAACUACGUG
rnacentral:rRNA from 1 species